CUUCCAGAACAGGAGACUGUUGUUGUCUUAAAUUUGGAGACUAUUCCAGACCCUCCACCUCAACAAGUUGAAGCUCUUCUGCCAACCAGCCCUGCCACCGACACCAAUGAGGGGGGACAGAUUGAGACAGUUGAAGCUCUGCCAACCAGCCCUGCCACCGACACCAACAGGGGGGGGGGG